rnacentral:tRNA from 1 species
AGGGCGGUAGCUCAAUUGGUAGAGUAGCGGUCUCCAAAACCGCCUGUUGUGGGUUCGAGUCCCUCCCGCCCUGCCA